rnacentral:rRNA from 1 species
AGAGUUUGAUCCUGGCUCAGAACGAACGCUGGCGGCAGGCUUAACACAUGCAAGUCGAACGCGUGUAGCAAUACACGAGUGGCGCACGGGUGAGUAACGCGUGGAUAUCUGCCUUUUGGUUCGGAAUAACCCCGGGAAACUGGGGCUAAUACCGGAUGGUUCCUACGGGAUAAAGAUUUAUCGCCAAAAGAUGAGUCCGCGUACGAUUAGCUAGUUGGUGAGGUAAUGGCUCACCAAGGCGACGAUCGUUAGCUGGUCUGAGAGGACGAUCAGCCACACUGGGACUGAGACACGGCCCAGACUCCUACGGGAGGCAGCAGUGGGGAAUAUUGGACAAUGGGGGCAACCCUGAUCCAGCCAUGCCGCGUGAGUGAUGAAGGCCUUCGGGUUGUAAAGCUCUUUUGGCGGGGACGAUGAUGACGGUACCCGCAGAAUAAGCCCCGGCUAACUUCGUGCCAGCAGCCGCGGUAAU